GAUGAGCGCUGGCGGCGUGCCUAAUACAUGCAAGUCGAGCGAACGGACGAGAAGCUUGCUUCUCUGAUGUUAGCGGCGGGCGGGUGAGUAACACGUGGAUAACCUACCUAUAAGACUGGGAUAACUUCGGGAAACCGGAGCUAAUACCGGAUAAUAUUUUGAACCGCAUGGUUCAAAAGUGAAAGACGGUCUUGCUGUCACUUAUAGAUGGAUCCGCGCUGCAUUAGCUAGUUGGUAAGGUAACGGCUUACCAAGGCAACGAUGCAUAGCCGACCUGAGAGGGUGAUCGGCCACACUGGAACUGAGACACGGUCCAGACUCCUACGGGAGGCAGCAGUAGGGAAUCUUCCGCAAUGGGCGAAAGCCUGACGGAGCAACGCCGCGUGAGUGAUGAAGGUCUUCGGAUCGUAAAACUCUGUUAUUAGGGAAGAACAUAUGUGUAAGUAACUGUGCACAUCUUGACGGUACCUAAUCAGAAAGCCACGGCUAACUACGUG
rnacentral:rRNA from 1 species